AUAUUUAUUCAGACAGUACAUAUUCUAAAAUUGGAACGAUACAGAGAAAAUUAGUAUGACCCCUGUGCAAGGAUGACAUACAAAUUCGUGAAGCGUUCCAUAUUUUC
rnacentral:snRNA from 1 species